ensembl:lncRNA
CUUUGCACCUAAUAGGAAAGCCCUUAAGAAAAAGAGAAACUUACAGGGAGAAGCAGACAUGGGAGAAGGAGGAAUGGAUUUAUGGAGCUACAUCUUGGAGCUGAGACUCUGUCCCUAUGUGGAUGGGUAUCAGAACCCACUACCGUCCCUGAGUCCACAUCUGAGCCUGAGUGCACCAGCUGCUACUCCUGCCCAGACUCUGGACCCUGCAAAGUCUAUCUCUGCCCUGCUGGGAAGGAUACCUGCCUUAGCACCGUGGAGGUUCUAGGUCAAAGGAAGGACCAGUUUGUCUCCAGAAGGAAUGGCUCCUGUGUGGCACCUGAGGAUUGCCAGCCUCGGGUCUACAGCCUGUCCAGCGGAUACCAUCAGGGCCUUUGGGUCAAUGUCACCUGUUGCAGCGGUGGUAACUGCAGUGAGCCCCCCGGGGCAGGUGCAUCACCAGACAGGCCGUGGGUGAGGGGAGUGCUGGGGCAGGGAGGGCAGGCUUGGGAGACAACCCCCUCACUGUCUUGUGCCACUCUCUGGACCCAAAUGCCCAUGAGCACCAUCCUCCAGUGGGCGUGUGGAGCGUAAGGGGCUCUGAGAGCAUCGAAGGCAGAGACCAACCCUAGGGGCCUCGAGUGACCCUCUCACUUCCUCUUCCCCGGACUCCUCAGCGGCCCUGCCCACGGGUAGACCCAGUGAUGUCCUGUGUCCCAUCUUUUCCCCGUAUUAAGCCUCUUGUGAUGAAAUCUUAUACCUGCGCUGCCAUCAAGGGCAGACAGGCCUCCUGUUUUAGCGUGAACGUGACUCUGCUUGGAGGUAAUGGGGAUGGGUGUGGGAAGCCGGGAGCUGCUCAUUCUCUGUGGCCUUUAGGCAAGUGGGUCCCAGUCUGCCCAUCUUUAAAAUGAAGGGACCAGACUUUUUGGGUCCCACCUGCCCAGCUCUGGUGUUCUGGGGUCUGGGUUCUGAGGCUGCCUUCGUGGGGAGAGGGGCCAUUUUCUGACCUCUGGGAACGGUGGCGACGGGGCUCCAAAGCUUCCCUGGAUUCAUCCUUUCCCCAGGGGGUCCGAAUGUCACCGUUCAAGGGUGUGGCUCUGAGGAGCUGUGCCACCUGCCUGAGAACCACACCCUCGGUCUAUACCUCGAGCUCAUCGGGAAGCUAAACUGCAACUCCAUCAGUCAGGCUGUGACGGGCAGGCACAAUAGUGCCACUUGCUCUGUCUGCGGGGCCCUUUUCCCAGCCCUGUUGGGGGUGUGGAUGGCCGCUUGGCUCACCUGAGUCCACCCCCAUUCUGCUGGGUUUCCCACUCAUCUUCUCCAGCCAAAGCAGGGAGAACCUUUCUUCUCUCUGACAAUGGGAGCCCACCCCAAGUCUGGAUUCCUCCAGGGAGCCUCCUCGGACAAAGCCCAGCCCAGAGGACCCCUUGGGCCUCAGAAACCCCAGAACCUGCCCCACAACAGUCAACAACAAAUUAUAGAUUAGCUCAUUUCCCCAAACGUUCGAUGUCUUUUCUUGUAUUCUCUCCCAUGCUCAUCUUGUCCUUUAACACCUAAGUUGGGUCCUCAGCUCCUCUGGGAAUCCCUCAGUCCCCAGGGGGGACGUCUCCCAGCCUUACCUUGGCUUUUAACACCCACCUUGAAGACUGAGGUGAUGAGGCCUGCCCACGGGUGCUGCUGCUGGAGAGGAGGAGGCAGCUAGGGGAGCCUUGGAGUUGAGGAGCCCUGAGCCGCACUUGGGCUAGACAGAGUCCAUUUUAUGUGCAGAACUUGGUGGUGGAGAACUACCAGGCUGCCUAAGGAGGAGCAGACCAGCCCAAAUAAAAAAAAAAUGGCAAAUUGGCA